rnacentral:rRNA from 1 species
GGGGGAUAGCUCGGCGAAAGCCGGAUUAAUACCGCAUACGCCCUGAGGGGGAAAGUGGGGGACCGCAAGGCCUCACGUUAUUGGAGCGGCCGAUGGCUGAUUAGCUAGUUGGUAGGGUAAAGGCCUACCAAGGCGACGAUCAGUAGCUGGUCUGAGAGGACGAUCAGCCACACUGGGACUGAGACACGGCCCAGACUCCUACGGGAGGCAGCACUGGGGAAUUUUGGACAAUGGGGGAAACCCUGAUCCAGCAAUGCCGCGUGUGCGAAGAAGGCCUUCGGGUUGUAAAGCACUUUUGUCAGGGAAGAAAUCCUUUGGGCUAAUACCCU